AAAGUACUCCAUCCGUUUCGAAAUUCUUGUCUUAAAUUUGUCUACAUACAGAUGAAUCUAAUACUAAAAUGUAACUUGAUACAUUCGUAGUUAGAAAAAUCAAAGACAAGAAUUUUGGGACGGAGGGAGUAGUAG
rfam:Triticum aestivum genome assembly, contig: Triticum_aestivum_CS42_TGACv1_scaffold_641520_T_7BL-0.140324_7BS-0.088233